AAAACAACCCUUAGACCUUUCCAAAAAAAACCCACAGUAGUGUCAUUGGUUCAGAGAUCAAUCUCUCUGUGCUUGCAGGUUAAUUUCCGAGUUACUGCAAAUGGCAAUUGACAAUAGAUGAUGAUGAAUUUCUCUUCAUAAAGAAGCAUGGAUUUCAUUUAGAAGAAUCAAACAACUUCUUUCACUCUGAAAGAUACCUUUUGUUACCGACAGAGAAAAUAUAUUUCUCUGAACUUUCUCCAACUAGUUUGUAGUUUAGUUAUUGCAUAUAUUGACAUGUGCCUAUCAAUACACACACACACACACACACACACACAAGCUUCAGAGUUUUCAUCUACCAAUUUGAGGUAUUGGUCAGCCAAAGACUACAAUAGAACAUGCAAUGGUGUGAUUCUAAAGCAAACUUUAUAACUAGAGAACCAUGCCUCUGCAUUUUUAUGCACACAAACUGGUGGCUUCAAAUGUAAGCUGUAAAGUGGGUGGUGUUUGGAAGGCAUCUGACCAAAGAAACCAUACCAAAGCAGAUAUUGGAGCACAAUGUAGUUCUUAGAUACAUUAGAUCUUGUCAAAACGUCCAACCCAUGCUUGCCUGAAA